rnacentral:rRNA from 1 species
GACGCUGGCGGCAGGCUAACACAUGCAAGUCGAGCGGAUGAGAAGAGCUUGCUCUUCGAUUCAGCGGCGGACGGGUGAGUAAUGCCUAGGAAUCUGCCUGGUAGUGGGGGACAACGUUUCGAAAGGAACGCUAAUACCGCAUACGUCCUACGGGAGAAAGCAGGGGACCUUCGGGCCUUGCGCUAUCAGAUGAGCCUAGGUCGGAUUAGCUAGUUGGUGAGGUAAUGGCUCACCAAGGCGACGAUCCGUAACUGGUCUGAGAGGAUGAUCAGUCACACCGGAACUGAGACACGGUCCAGACUCCUACGGGAGGCAGCAGUGGGGAAUAUUGGACAAUGGGCGAAAGCCUGAUCCAGCCAUGCCGCGUGUGUGAAGAAGGUCUUCGGAUUGUAAAGCACUUUAAGUUGGGAGGAAGGGCAUUAACCUAAUACGUUAGUGUUUUGACGUUACCGACAGAAUAAGCACCGGCUAACUCCGUGCCAGCAGCCGCGGUAAUACAGAGGGUGCAAGCGUUAAUCGGAAUUACUGGGCGUAAAGCGCGCGUAGGUGGUUUGUUAAGUUGGAUGUGAAAGCCCCGGGCUCAACCUGGGAACUGCAUCCAAAACUGGCAAGCUAGAGUACGGUAGAGGGUGGUGGAAUUUCCUGUGUACCAGUGAAAUG